ensembl:miRNA
UACAGAACCUCUGAGGCAUGAAUGGAGGAGGGCAGGCCCAGGCUUGCUGCCUUUCCUGUGUUCUCAGCCAGGUCCGAGGU